AGGUAAUGCAGACUUGAAGAACACUGUACUUUUGAAAUCAUUAUUACACGACUUCGCAGUCGACAUGUCAAAUCUUGUGCCAAGUGACGAAUUCAUCAUUGGAGAGGAUGGUUUUGUUCUCUGCGAAACAAUGGAUUUAGCAGAAAACUGUGACGACACAGCCAGGGAGGAAGACGUACUCAAUCUAGCAGAUUCCGAAUCGAAAUUCGUACUCUGCAAGUAGUGCAAUGUCUUAUUGCGUUACGAGGGAAAAUGUACUCCACGAAUCUGUUCCAGCUGCAAUAUCUCCUUCCAUUUUCAAUGUGCCAGAUGCAAUCGAGUCUACGAAAAACACGACUCGCUGCGCUCGCACCUGCGCUACCGCUGCUACAAGGAGCGCUACUACACGUGCGACCAGUGCAAAUACAAAACCAGCAGCAAGGGUUCGCUCAAGCUCCAUAAACUCUCGCGACACGAGCCUCCCCAACAAUUGCUCUGCGCGCAAUGCGGGAAUGUGUACAAAAAUCGC